rnacentral:tRNA from 1 species
GGCUAGUUGGUCUAGGGGUAUGAUUCUCGCUUAGGGUGCGAGAGGUCCUGGGUUCAAAUCCCAGACGAGCCC